ACCAGGUGAAUGAAAGAGUGGCAGCCACUCCACUCAUGAAAUGUCCUCUCUUUUGUUUAUUAGAGAACAUGAAGGAACAGCUGGAUGCAGAGCUUCAGACAGCUCACAGUAUGAUCAAGGCAAGGCAUAAGCAGCUGGAGGAAGAAAUGAAAAUCAUCAGAGAGAAACUUAAUCGCUUCCGUCAGUCUCUGCAAAACCAAGGAGAAUGGUGAACACCACUGAAAAUCCCCUGAUGAAAUACAGGCAUCUGAAUUAUAUUGGGAGCGGGACUUUUGGAGAUGUUUAUAGAGCACUCGACAGUGCCACAGGAGGAGAGCUACCUUCUGGGCGAGGAACUCUUGCUGGUUAUAGAGUACAUGGAUGGAGGUGUCCUGAGC